GACAGAGGGGGCAAGCGUUGCUCGGAAUCACUGGGCGUAAAGGGCGCGUAGGCGGGAUGGCAAGUCGGUCGUGAAAUCCCUGGGCUCAACUCAGGGGGGUCGGCCGAUACUGCCGUUCUUGAGGGAUGCAGAGGAGACUGGAAUUCCCGGUGUAGCGGUGAAAUGUGUAGAGAUCGGGAGGAACACCGGUGGCGAAGGCGGGUCUCUGGGCAUACCCUGACGCUGAGGCGCGAAAGCGUGGGGAGCAAACGGG
rnacentral:rRNA from 1 species